rnacentral:snoRNA from 12 species
AGCUUAUCAGUGAUGCUGUACAAAUAAAUGUCUGAACAUAUGAAUUCAAUAUUGAUUUCAACAUAUAACUGAGAUAAGCU